AGUGAACGCUGGCGGUAGGCCUAACACAUGCGAGUCGAACGGCAGCACAGUAAGAGCUUGCUCUUACGGGUGGCGAGUGGCGGACGGGUGAGGAAUACAUCGGAAUCUACUUUUUCGUGGGGGAUAACGUAGGGAAACUUACGCUAAUACCGCAUACGACCUACGGGUGAAAGCAGGGGAUCGUCGGACCUUGCGCGAUUGAACGAGCCGAUGUCGGAUUAGCUAGUUGGCGGGGUAAAGGCCCACCAAGGCGACGAUCCGUAGCUGGUCUGAGAGGAUGAUCAGCCACACUGGAGCUGAGACACGGUCCAGACUCCUACGGGAGGCAGCCGUGGGGAAUAUUGGACAAUGGGCGCGAGCCUGAUCCAGCCAUACCGCGUGGGUGAUGAAGGCCUUCGGGUUGUAAAGCCCUUUUGUUGGGAAAGAAAAGCAGCAGGUUAAUACCCCGCUGUUCUGACGGUACCCAAAGAAUAAGCACCGGCUAACUUCGUG
rnacentral:rRNA from 1 species